rnacentral:lncRNA from 1 species
AGAAAGAAGAUUUGGUAACAAGGGCAAGUGCAACGGCAACACGAGGAACCUGUUUUGGGCUGUAUGAAGGCGUUUGAAGCGGGGGGUGCUUUCUUUGCUCUGAUGAUUUAAAAGUGGCGGAAGCUCGCACGCAUUCUCCUCACGUCAACGUUGAUUGGUUGGAAGGGGUUGGGUUGGGUCUGGGCCCUCACCGCCCUUUCCUUUUUAUCUCUCUCGCAUCGCCUCGCGUACGCAUACGCAUACGCAUACGCAUCCGCCUCUUUUAUAUAAUCUUUUGAAUUUUUUGUCCUGUGGGGGGCAUUUCUGACUGAGAGGGACAAAAGGAGAGGUUUAGAGCUCUACAUGUGGACGAUUUCCAUUUGUCCAUUCACCUUUGUUUUCUCUAUGCAGGUGCAGCAAACAAUAACCCCUUCUACAGCUUCUAUUCUACCAAUUUGGUUGGCUAUACCCUACAGAUGCUGCAUAAAUUACCAAGUGGCCCACUUCAUUCAUCCAUUAUUCCAAUUUCAAUCCAAUAUUAUCAAUAUUCUCUCUAAGAGAACCUUC